rnacentral:rRNA from 1 species
CAUGCAGGCGGUUUGUUAAGCGAGAUGUGAAAGCCCCGGGCUCAACCUGGGAACUGCAUUUCGAACUGGCAAACUAGAGUUCUUGAGAGGGUGGUAGAAUUUCAGGUGUAGCGGUGAAAUGCGUAGAGAUCUGAAGGAAUACCAGUGGCGAAGGCGGCCACCUGGCAAGUAACUGACGCUCAGAUGCGAAAGCGUGGGUAGCAAACG